rnacentral:rRNA from 1 species
GAUGAACGCUGGCGGCGUGCCUAAUACAUGCAAGUCGAGCGAACAGGGGACGGGUGAGUAAAAAGUGGAUAACCUCCUAUAAGGCUGGGAUAACUUCGGUAAACCUUAGCCAAAUCGGAUACUUCAAGGUGGACCCGCGCUGCUUUAGCUAGUUGGUAAGGUAACGGCGAACCAAGGCAACGAUGAAUAGCCGGCCUGAGAGGGCGAACGGCCACACUGGAACUGAGACACGGUCCAGACUCCUACGGGAGGCAGCAGUAGGGAAUCGUCCGCAAUGGGCGAAAGCCUUACGGAGCAACGCCGCGGGGGAGAUGAAGGUCUUCGGAUCGUAAAGCUCUGUUAUUAGGAAAGCGGUACCUGAUCAGAAAGCCACGGCUAACUACGUGCCAGCAGCCGCGGUAAUUC